CAUACCCACUUUUUCUCACAUACAUAAAGCCAUUGUACAUACUAUACACACCAGAAAUUACACCAUCAACCAUGAUGUUCAUGUGAUUCAAUUGUCAUCACCACUUAGUUCAUACCAAUUAAUCUCACUUCCCACCCUUAAUUAAUUCCUUAAACAAAACUGUAAGUGAAAUUUGUUCAUACUAACAUCUCAUUAAUAUUUGUAAAGAGUAUUUUUGCAGAAAAAAAUUGAAGCAGAUCCAACACCGUACAACCGAUCGGUGUCUAGCCGCCGCACCGAAAUUGUGCUCGCAUAAUCAACAACCGCCCGGUCUCCGACGAGAUCCCGCCGCUCAAUCCACACCGUCCGUACAACCGCUCAAGGUGCUCUCUUUUCUUUUGCUUUUGAUUGAUUCAACAUCCUUAUCUUGAUCUCAUAUGCUUUUGGAUUUUGAAAUAAAUGAGAAGUUGUGAAAAGUUUGUUGUUCUUGUAUGUCUCUAAGUGGGAAAGAGAGAAGAAGAUGGAUUUGGCACUUUGUUGUAUUCUUUUUCCAUGGUACUAAUAUGUUAUGUCAUCAAAUUUUAUGAGUUACCGGUACCAUGUGACAUGUAAUAUUUUGAUUGGUCCACUUAAUUUAUAUUAUUAAUAUUAUUUUAUUAUAAAUAAUUAUUAUAUUAGUAAAUAUUAGAGUAUACAUUAAAUUUAUGAAAUUGUAAUAUUAACCCAAACAACUUCCGUUUCCCUUUUCUUUUCUCCUUCCUAAUUUUCAUUCUUUUCAAACACACUCUUCUUCGCAACCGCCGACUGGCUUCCUUCUUCCUCUUUUUCUAAAGUUCUCCAACCGCACUUCAUUGAAUACCAUAAGAGAAUCUCUCGCAGUUACCGGCGCAAUCACACUUUAUCGAACGCCAGAAAACAAUCUCUCGCAGUUACCGGCAGCACAUCCUUCUGCACACCUCUUCUUUAUCGAAUCGCCCUUCGUGGUUCACAUGUCUGAGCAUUUCUUCUGAUGCCAGAAUAGGAGUUGAGGAAGCUGUUGAAACCAAAAAAGGACUAGCAGCAAGGAAUUAUCAAGUUAAUUUCUUUUCAGAAACUCUUCUUUCUAUCCUCUUGUAACUUGUUUUGGGUUUCCUCCUCGCAAAAACCCACCACUCUUCUUAUCGUUCAUCUUUUACCGAUCGAUUUUUGGUAAGUUAUUAUUUCUCUUUCAAUCUGAAAUCUUUUUCAAUAACUUUACGAAUUUGAUUGUUUCAAUUUUUAUUUUCGCUUUUAUUAUCAUGAUUGUGUUAAUUAAUUAAAAGUGAUUGUGUUAAUUAAUUGCAAUUGUACAUUAGAGACAUGAAGUUUCCUGUUAGCUAUCCCAUUGCACUGUGCAUUUGUUUCAUGUUAAUAAAUUAAUAAUAUAGAACAUCUAUUGUUUGAAUCUUUAUGUAUUCUAUAAAUUUUCUUCUUCCUGUAUUCAAUUUGUGAACAUAUUGGAAGGGAGUAGAAGAAAGAUGAACAUGAUCUUCUUUCUAUAUUUUGUAAAUUUGAGUGGUUAGGAGAACAAAUUUGAAGCCAGGAACCACCUUGGUAAUCAACUUAGAUAUAGCUUUGCGAGUAAGACAGUUAUCAUUACGGUUGUGUUGCACAUAGGGAUCGGGGUCUAAGGAGAAAUGGAUGUAGAAUCAGUUCUAUUUAAUUAUGUAAACUUCAUAUUUAGUUUUAAAAGAAAAUUUAUUAAAUAAAAUACCAAUUAAAUAAUACAAAUGGCUCAUCUUAAUUGGUCCACUUCACUUGAGUACCGGUACCCAUUGAAACAAGCAGGGUACCUAAGAAUUUGCCAAUUUUUUUUCUUCCUAUUUCAUUAGUGCCACUUGUCGCGUUUCUAUGGACUACUAUCAUGACUUUGAAAAGUCAAACAAUACUAAUAGAUUUUGUGAGAUGGUGAUGCAAGGGGUUACGCCCCAC